CUGCCAGAGGGGAGGGAAUGAAACACAUGUGUAGUAUGAAGCAAGGAGGGAAAGAAAGGGAGAAUACCUUUUUAAGAUGGCUGCCUGCUCAAGAAAACAUAUAGAAAAUGUGAAACGUCCUGGCUACUGUUUUCUGUCUACAUGCAUGACAGAUCCUGGAAAAUUACUACACAUUCAGCUAAGUGAAGAUGCAGUCAUAAUAACGUCCAGUUUCCUGCCAAUGUGAUUAAGCUGGCACUGUACGUGAUGCUAGAGCUGGAUUUUAUGGCCUUAAAUACCACAGAUUACCUCUAAUCUGCUGUCUUGUAGCCACAGCACAACUUUGCUAUGCAGGUCGUUGAGAUGACCUAAUUUCAUAUUUGAUUUGCAAUAACACUAAAAACAUUGCUUUUCAGCAUAUUCCAGGUGUUUUUCUUUUUUGAUCUGAACUUAAAUCUUGCCUAAACAAAAUAAAAAUGCUACUUUCUUUUUUCUUAUGCA